AUUGAACGCUGGCGGCAUGCCUUACACAUGCAAGUCGAACGGCAGCACGGGUGCUUGCCCCUGGUGGCGAGUGGCGAACGGGUGAGUAAUACAUCGGAACAUGUCCUGUAGUGGGGGAUAGCCCGGCGAAAGCCGGAUUAAUACCGCAUACGAUCUACGGAUGAAAGCGGGGGACCUUCGGGCCUCGCGCGAUAGGGUUGGCCGAUGGCUGAUUAGCUAGUUGGUGGGGUAAAGGCCUACCAAGGCGACGAUCAGUAGCUGGUCUGAGAGGACGACCAGCCACACUGGGACUGAGACACGGCCCAGACUCCUACGGGAGGCAGCAGUGGGGAAUUUUGGACAAUGGGCGAAAGCCUGAUCCAGCAAUGCCGCGUGUGUGAAGAAGGCCUUCGGGUUGUAAAGCACUUUUGUCCGGAAAGAAAUCCUUGGCCCUAAUACGGUCGGGGGAUGACGGUACCGGAAGAAUAAGCACCGGCUAACUACGUG
rnacentral:rRNA from 1 species